CAGGAAACCAAACCUCACUUGAGUGGCUUCACCGGGUGUUUAUCGCCGCGUCUCCGAGGCGUGCACGACCGGAGGGCUUCGUGCGGGUCACAGCCCUGUGUUGGCGAUGGGUUGUCCUUGGUUCAUUUUUCCCAGCUGGUUCCCGCCCGUGUGCUGUGCCCCUGCAGGGACGGGGGCGCGACAACGCAGGCCUCCUUCCCACCCACCGGGCACUGCAGUGGGCGUGCUCCCGCGGGAGCUCUGCUGCGACCCGGGCGGGCGCCGGGCGCACCAGCGUCGAGUCCAACGUGCCCAGUCUGCAGAGUUUGCAAAUAAAGUACGAAUCUGCGUGUGGUUGUGCCACCCGGAGGCACCUGCUGUUCACAUCGUGGCGCGUUUCGUUCUCACCUUCUUUUAUCUGUGUUUGCACCGACCCAAUUUGGGACAUUCCGUGUGCAAAGCUCUAUACUCCACAGUCUCCGAUGCCAUGAAACGUUUCGAGAAUAUGAUUUAACUGCACAAUGUUCCACCCCCUAUUGAUAAAGCAUCGCUUAUUUAUCGGUUUCCUUAUUAGAGAUGUUGGCUACGAUUCUUCACUACCACGGACGUUAUUAUAAAGAGAACUUCUAGGCACAUGUCUACACACCUGCCUGUCUGGGGAUAUGGCCCUUUAAUGUACUUGGGGGAUUUAAAGACUUGGGAAGCUGUUGAUCGUACUACCAAAUUUUUUAAAAAUAUUUUAUUUAUUUAUUCAUGAGAGACACAGAGAGAGAGAGAGGCAGAGACCCAGGCAGAGGGAGAAGCAGUCUCCAUGCAGGGAGCCCGACGUGGGACUCGAUCCCGGGUCUCCAGGAUCACACCCCCAGGCCGAAGGCAGUGCUAAACCACUGAGCCACCGGGCUGCCCCGUACUACCAAAUUUUUUGUCGGAAGGUUGAUCGUCUCUCUUCCCAUCAGCAGAGAGGAAUGCCUGAUUUGUCACACUACAGUGACCGCUCCAAAGCAAAGACGUGUUUCCAGUGUGUUUCAUUAUGAGACUUAAAAUGCUAAAGCCCGAGGGGCCCUGCCCACCGACUCCCUGUGAGAUGCUCUGAAAGGUCUGCGUGAGUCUCUACGUUUCUGGCCCCCAAAUGAAGGCCCAACAGGACGAGCGAGGGACGGGCCGCAAAAGAUGCCGGCGGGAGAUUUCACGAUGAUGUGGAUGGGAGCAGCUUGAGUGUCCGUGACGCCAGCAGGAUGCGGGUCGGCGCUGCCACCUGCCCCCCGCCCCCGUGACAGGUGCCCGGCUGGCAUCCAGGCCAUGGCUGACUGGACUCUGCGGUCACCCUCCACCUGCCCCAGCAGAACCCACGCUCUCCGGGGCAUCCCCGCAGGACACGCAUGCUGCACGCAGGGCAGGAAGGGUGGGGGGGCUCACUGUCCCCUCACCACCAAAUGUGGCCCUAGGUGCCAACCGUGGGCCGCCGUCAUGCUCCUGCCGCCUGCCGGCUUCCGUGGGCAGGUCCUUGUGCAACCCGUGUCGCCCUCAGGGGCACAGGAAGCUCCUACGGACCCCCCGGCUUCCAUCUCCCGGGACGGAGUGGCCUGUGGUCCAGCUUCCCUCCACGUUGGGCCUCAAGGCUUAGAGCUGUGUUCAUCUGACUGUUCUAGGUGGUUCUACAGACCCAAGACCUCCCGGUGGCCACAGCCGUGGGAGGAGGCAGAAGGAAUGGGGCCAAGGAGCGUAAGCCCCGCGGCCCUCUGAGACCCCGCGUCUGCUAGUGCUUGGUGAGGGCAGGGGCAGGAAGGCCCACGGCCACCCCCGGCUGCUCCCUGCCCCAGGGCCAAGGGACCAAUCCGCCCAAGUCCAUUCUGAUGCCGCCUAGCUGUGUCCCCUAGACUUUGGGGGCCCCGUAGUUCAGGUCAGCCUCACCCCAGUUUGCCCGGAGAGGCCCCGGCUCAUAUGUAGGCUUGUCCCACCCUGAUCCUAACAGACUCCCCCACUUUUACUCCCGGAGGUAUCCUGGUGCGGGGAUGACAUCGUGGAGUCACCCUGACUGUUGUCCACGGGAGACCUCACGGCCCAGCCCCCGGGCAUGUCGGAGCCCAAGGGGGGUCACAGUCAGGCUCCUGCCCCUGUAACGUGGUCUCAUGUCCCCCGACCCACCCCGGCCCUCUGACUACCUCUGAUACCUGCCAGGGGGCCCCGAACCCCCGCCCCUGUGUCCAGGCCGGGACUCAGCCUGCGAGGGGGUGACAAAUCCCCGCGCCCCUGAGAGUGAGGACAGGCGCCCCUCCCGGACGCGGGCUCGCGUGGUCUGUGGGGCGGGCCGCUGGUCGAACCCCCGCGACUGAAACAGCCACCUGCCUGCCGUCGGAUGCUCUGAAGGAAUUUGUGUUAGAGAACAUGGAGAAACCAUUCUCAUUUAGGGAAUGAAAGACAUAAAAGGAAAAAGGCCAAGUGGGCAAGGCCGGGAACCAAGUCACUGAUGAAUUGGGGAGAUUAUAGGAUUUAUGGAGAAAAAUGAAAGAAUAAGAAAUUUUCUUGAGUCUUUCGAAGGGGCAAUUAAUGGCCUAUAGGAUUUGAUUUCAACUUUUGUUCGCUUUUUUCUUUCUCUUGGCUACUUUGUGGACAGAUUCAUCUUUGAAACGUCCGAUGCUUGGCUUUCCAAGGUUCUUCGGGCAGAGACUCAAAGUGGAGAAGCGACCACUUCUUAAAAGAAAUGCUAAAAAAAAGAAAAAAGAAAAAAAGAAAUGGUUUCCUUUUUAAUUAACAAAGUAAACGGGGAGAAGAAGCAUCUUUAAUAUUUGCAAAAGCCUCAAAAAAAAUUUCACCAGCUAGAGACACAAAAGGAAACGAGUCGUCAGGCCUGGGGAACCUCUCCUCAAUUAUGGGAUGUUUUCAGAUUUAAAUCCUACAUACCUGAGUUUUAUCUGUUUGCAGAUGUCCCAAACAAUAGGGUUUCUGGUUUCUUCAUGGAUAUUUUGUUUAAUGUUCUUAAAGAAGUCUGGGAUGGGCUCUUAACACCCUGUCUUUUUGUCCAAAAAAAAAAAAAAAAAAGUAAAAGUAAAAGUAUUUUGUCUUUAACGUUUUAAAAAAUC